UACGGAGGGUGCAAGCGUUAAUCGGAAUUACUGGGCGUAAAGCGUGCGCAGGCGGUUUGUUAAGUCUGCUGUGAAAUCCCCGAGCUCAACUUGGGAAUUGCAGUGGAUACUGGCAGGCUGGAGUAUGGUAGAGGAAGGUGGAAUUCCCGGUGUAGCAGUGAAAUGCGUAGAGAUCGGGAGGAACACCAGUGGCGAAGGCGGCCUGCUGGACCAAUACUGACGCUCAUGCACGAAAGCGUGGGGAGCAAACAGG
rnacentral:rRNA from 1 species